CUUAACGAUGGAUGUCUUGGUUCCUACAGCGAUGAAGGCCGCAGCGAAAUGCGAUACGCAAUGAAAAUUGCAGUGACUGUGAAUCAUCUGAACGCUGAAUGUAAACUACACUGAAAAGGAGGUCUUUUUACCCAAAAGGAUCCUCUAAAAUUGAUAGUACUUCUAUUA
rnacentral:rRNA from 1 species